UACGUAGGGGGCAAGCGUUGUCCGGAAUCAUUGGGCGUAAAGCGCGUGUAGGCGGUUCGGUAAGUCUGCUGUGAAAGUCCAGGGCUCAACCCUGGGAUGCCGGUGGAUACUGUCGGACUAGAGUACGGAAGAGGCGAGUGGAAUUCCCGGUGUAGCGGUGAAAUGCGCAGAUAUCGGGAGGAACACCAAUGGCGAAGGCAGCUCGCUGGGACGGUACUGACGCUGAGACGCGAAAGCGUGGGGAGCAAACAGG
rnacentral:rRNA from 1 species